rnacentral:rRNA from 1 species
AUUGAACGCUGGCGGCAGGCCUAACACAUGCAAGUCGGACGGUAGCACAGAGGAGCUUGCUCCUCGGGUGACGAGUGGCGGACGGGUGAGUAAUGUCUGGGGAUCUGCCCGAUAGAGGGGGAUAACCACUGGAAACGGUGGCUAAUACCGCAUAACGUCGCAAGACCAAAGAGGGGGACCUUCGGGCCUCUCACUAUCGGAUGAACCCAGAUGGGAUUAGCUAGUAGGCGGGGUAAUGGCCCACCUAGGCGACGAUCCCUAGCUGGUAUGAGGGGAUGACCACCCACACUGAAACUGAGACACGGUCCAGACUCCUACGGGAGGCAGCAGUGGGGAAUAUUGCACAAUGGGCGCAAGCCUGAUGCAGCCAUGCCGCGUGUAUGAAGAAGGCCUUCGGGUUGUAAAGUACUUUCAGCGGGGAGGAAGGCGAUGUGGUUAAUAACCCUGUCGAUUGACGUUACCCGCAGAAGAAGCACCGGCUAACUCCGUGCCAGCCGCCGCCGUAA